rnacentral:rRNA from 1 species
GAUGAACGCUAGCUACAGGCUUAACACAUGCAAGUCGAGGGGAAACGCCAUCGAAAGCUUGCUUUUGAUGGGCGUCGACCGGCGCACGGGUGAGUAACGCGUAUCCAACCUGCCCAUCACUUGGGAAUAACCUUGCGAAAGUAAGACUAAUACCCAAUGACAUCCCACGAAGACAUCUGAAUGGGAUUAAAGAUUUAUCGGUGAUGGAUGGGGAUGCGUCUGAUUAGCUUGUUGGCGGGGUAACGGCCCACCAAGGCAACGAUCAGUAGGGGUUCUGAGAGGAAGGUCCCCCACAUUGGAACUGAGACACGGUCCAAACUCCUACGGGAGGCAGCAGUGAGGAAUAUUGGUCAAUGGGCGAGAGCCUGAACCAGCCAAGUAGCGUGCAGGAUGACGGCCCUAUGGGUUGUAAACUGCUUUUAUAAGGGAAUAAAGUGGGUCUCGUGAGACUUUCUGCAUGUACCUUAUGAAUAAGGACCGGCUAAUUCCGUG